CUUUAAAGUACUUAAAAUGGGGUCUUGAUAUUACAUUUUAUAUGAAAUAAAGAAGGAACUAAUUUGGUAGUAUGUAACCUGUUUACAUUUUCAAAACGAGUCUCUUUACAUCCGCAUUUUGCCAAACCUAAAUUUUCGUGUAUAAAACUGAUAUAUGAUAGAAUGUGGACUUAACGGAACGUUUUGUGCGAUUUAAAUCAAUAGGAAAUAACUUUUGUCAAAAGACAAGUGAACAUCUGACCAUGAACAAACGUUAGAUUUGCAAAUAAUGAUAGUGAUAUUGGAUGACCUCAAUUCGGAUAGUGUCAUUUUGCGCCAAAAUUGAAUAUGAUAUCGAGAAAGAUGCCUUGUUAUAUGUUGUAUGUCAUUUUCUCGACAGGAAAUUUUGUAUGUUGCGCUAAAAUUUCGGUUGGAAAAAAUAUGGCAAGGUAUUUGUAAUCUACAAGGAUUUGACAGAGUAAACAAUAGAAGUUUGUUACGGGGAAUGUCACGGAAUACAUUUUGGACUCCUAGGCUAUGGAACAGUCGCUUGUUUUAGAAUAAAUUUGGAUCACUAUGGUAAAUUCAUUAUUAUGACAAAAAGUCAGCGUGUGAUGUUUGAUCUUUAUCAUUGAAACAGAGCAAAGGACAAUAUUAACGAGACUGAGGACAGACUGCCUACGGUUGUGUGCGACAGUUAUGGAGGAGGGAAUAGAUAGAAAAUAAAUAAGCUAGAGGUUACAGUUCUGAUACAUAUAGAAUAGUGACAUUCAGUACAGCUUCGCGUCCACAUGUCUUUUGAAUACAGUACAUGCAUGCCGUUGAGAAAUUAUACGAGAACGAACAUCAUUGUUAACAGCACACCUUGCGAAUAGCGUUUGAAUAUACUUCCUGAGGCCCAGACGGGAGGAACACUCAGAAUGACAGCUUUUACUGGACAUGAUACGUAUCAAUUUUGACAUAUCCAUGUAACAUUGACAAAAGAGGAUAUACUAACUCUCUCUUACGAUCGACCAAACACUGUUUUUACUAAAACCUAUUGCAUUACAGAGUCGCAUUUUGUUUGGGUUAGGGAACACUAAAACUCAAACGUUCACAAACACGCAUUACUACAAGUGCGAGAAAAAAUAUAAUAAUAUAUAAUUUUGAGCCUUGUUUUCGGAGAAGGAUAGGGUAAACAAAUUACAUUUAAAUGGCACUUCACUGCAUGUUCUGUUCAAUCAGUUGUUUAUACGAUAAAAAUAAGUAAAAUAACGGUUUCGUGAGUAUCAUGUAAAAAUGUAUAACAAUGUAUCUGUA